GGAACGGUAGCUCAGUGGUAGAGCAGCGCGGACACGGCCGGGAGAUGGCGCAAGCCUGAAGCGAUUCCCGGGACCCUACGCGUUGGUCGCGGGUUCAAUUCCCGCCCGUUCCC
rnacentral:tRNA from 1 species